UUCCCCUUCAGAGUUUUUCCUUUUGAUGUAAUUUGAUGAGGAAUUAGACUCAUAAUGUUCUGACUAAUAUCCUAGGAGAAGUAUUAGCUUUUGUGCCAAGGGGUCUGUUGUGCUUGUAGAGUAUUGUACUAAUAGAGUAUCAUAGAGCACUGAAAGUAAAAUAACAAUAAAGGUAGAAUAUUCUGGUGGAAUGAAGGGGCACUUUGUGCUAUAGAUAAAGACAUUGAAGGUUACAUGAGGGAAAAAUGUACAUAUUGUGAUACUAAGGGUGAUCUACAAUCCAAACAAACAGAACCAAAAAAUAGAGGCAGAAAUUAAGUCAUAUAAUCACAGAACUGUAGGGGCUGGAAGGGACCUCUAGAGAUCAUUGAGUCCAACCCCCCUGCCAAAGCAGGCUCCCUAGACCAGGUUGCACAGAUAGGAGUUCACGUGAGUCUUGAAUGUCAAUUUACGGCACCAGUUCCAAUUAAGAUAGUGUAUGGGACCCAUUGAAUCACGGCCUGAACAUCUGAUUGACCACCUGAGGCGAGCACUGAGUCAGCCACAGGAGCACAGGUGAAGGCAAUUCAGCUGUGUGACAGGAAGGGGUGGAGCCUGGCUGCAUCUCUCCUAGACCCCAUUUAUGGGCUGACUGCCACUGAGGAGAGUUCUUUCUCUGGAGAUUGCUUGUUGUGGAGUUUUGUGUGCCUACAACACUGAAAAGACAUCGCCUUGGAGCCAAACCAGGAUGGCACAUAGCUAUGAGGCUAGCUUCAUUUAUCUGCAUUCAUCUUCAGGUGUAGUUCAUUCCUUAUACUUUGUAUUUUGGUUUAAGACAACCACAAAAUUGUCUCCUAUUUAAGACAAUUUUUUUCAAGCGUCCCUUUCUUCAAGGAUGGGUGAAAACUUCAGGGUGGUGUAUUGAUUCACCGAGUGCCAAGUGGCCAACUUGAAAUGAGAGGGCGUUUCUCCCCAAGAGCUAUCCCUGUGCUCCUGCCCUCAGUGACAUGGGUUUGUCAGCAGGCUAGGAGCAAUAGAGGGGAAGAGUCUCCCUGUGGGCAUUUAUUAGCCAUAAUCCCUCUGGUACAGAGCGGUGCAGAGGGGGAGAGGUUUGAGACCUCAAGUGUACAGAAAUCAUGCAGAUGCCAUAUGUCCUCCUUCAUUCCAGAGCUUUCACAACUAUGUCUGAAUAGUUGGUUUACCAAAGUGAUGACUCAGGUUCUGCCAGAAAAACCUUGGGUUAGGGAAAGAAGGCCAAUAGCCAUCUCCUUCCUGAUGUCCACUUUCUGCCUGGUAUCUCACCUUCUAGCAGCUCACUUCUGUACUGCCAGAUAUACUCCUAUGGCAGAAGUCAUCAUUUUUAAUUCUGUAUUGAGCCUCUUCAGUUGUAGUGAUGGAGUGUUAUGUCAUAAGGUACAAUUCUGGUUUUGAAACCAAAUCCUAAUGCUCCAAAUGUAUAUGCACACACACUCCAGUUUAGAUGUGUGAACAGAGUUGUGCUUGUUAAAUAUGAGUAUUUCCAGGACUGUUGCCCAGUUCUGCAUUCUAAGAUUAUCCAUUUGCUGUCUUUCCAUCAUAUACAUUCAUUGCAGGAAUAGAAAGUUUUCUUUUUCCUAUCUGCCAACCAUGGAAACAGUGAAUGUUGAACUGUAUUCUUCCUACUUAUGAAUCAUCCUCCUCAACCUUGACUCAGCGAUCACAGGGGAACACUUAGGCCGGGGUUAGCAUAUAUUCUUCUGAUCAAGAAGAUUCUGUAGUAUGGUAUUAUAUUACUCAUUUUUUUUAAUGAUGCCUAUAUAGAAUCCUACUCAUUAUCUUUCAUCUAUGUUAGCUUAAUGGAGCUAAGGGAUUGAAACAGUGGAAAAUUAUUUUUAGUCCUUUGAGACAGAUAGACCUGACAUUAAGUGUGCUAUGAAUGCUGAAGAAAUAAAACUUCGAUAUCUACAGUUAAAGGAAAAUCAAAAUAUAUUGUUUCAAGGUGGCAGCUUUUAGUUACUCUGAGAUAUGGUGUUCUGGCUGGAGGAGAAAGUGUGAGUGUGCUGGAUGUGAGAAGAGUACUCCAAGAGAUUUUAUUCUUUAUUAGCAGUAUGGCUUUUGGAUAUACUGUAAAUAUUUAUAACGAUGAGAAAGAAAGUAUGUUUUGCAUCAAAGGCAAUUAUGCCAGCUAACAGCAUGUUCAGGCUAAGAUAAUUGACUGCACAAUCUUUUAAUACUUUGCCCCUUUCAGACCUGUUGCUUGGAUACCACAUUCUCUGAACUAUUAUGCACCUUGCUGAAAAUUAAAUAAUAAAGAAAAGGUUUUAGCAGCUCCUUUGUCUUUUCCAUACGCUAUACAUUUAAAUAUAUUUUUGGAAGUGUUGUCAAAGAGGGCUGUCUGGUGGCAAAAUACUGAAAGGAACAGUUGGAAAAUCCAACCUGUGUGAAGUCUGAAUUCAAAUCUUAGUUUUCUAGAUAUGUUUUUUGUUUUUCAUGCAAUUUUGUCCUUCCUCUUCUAAGGUAAUAUCACAUUAAGAUGCAAUGAAUAGAUUUUCAAACUGUAGACAUCCUGAAGUAACUGGAUAACUCACCCAGGUAAGUCUCACUCAUCCUACUGAUAAUAGUUUGCUCCUUGCUCACUUUCACUCUCUCUAAAUAGUUCAUCUGAAAGCGUGAGAUUGUGUUUGUUAUUUGAGA
ensembl:lncRNA